rnacentral:rRNA from 6 species
AAACGACUCUCGGCAACGGAUAUCUCGGCUCUCGCAUCGAUGAAGAACGUAGCGAAAUGCGAUACUUGGUGUGAAUUGCAGAAUCCCGUGAACCAUCGAGUCUUUGAACGCAAGUUGCGCCCGAAGCCUUCUGGCUGAGGGCACGUCUGCCUGGGCGUCACGCAU